GUACGGAGAUGAUGACAUAAGAAAAGGUGAAGUCGCCGGGAAUGGCGCGUGAGGUUACGUCAGACGGCAACAGGACGGAAUUGAGGAGUGGCUUUGAGUUACGCAAUUAUGUUUAAGUGUAUAUGUAUUUGUGAUGUGGACGGAACGGAGAAACGGGGUGGGCCGAUGCCAACUUAGGAGAAAACCAAAGUUAUCUGAAUUGGGUCUGAUUUUGCAGAAGGAUUUAUGAUUCGGACGAUGAAAAUUG